CUAUGGCUUCAGCUUCUUGCUAGUUAGUUCUUUCUCUUGAAUUAAUCCAUUUCUAUAAAUCCAUAUGUUGCCACGUGGCCAUGGUGUUACCGGUCUGCUGACAUCUUGUUGCUCCUUCUGCGGUGGGCUCACGUCUCCCUCGACUCCACCCUUCCUCAUCUCAUUUUCAGUUUGAAGGUACCACCUAACCUUAUCCUGCCCUGCCAUAGGCCAAUGCUGCUUUCUUUAUUAUCCAAUGGGAGCCACACAUGUUCACAGCAUACAGAAAGACAUCCCGCAGCAGGGUUCGGCCCAUUAAGGUGAGGAAGGCCGAGCUGCAUGCAGUGUUGGGAGCACACUAUGGGGACUCCUUAUGUCGGUGGACCAGGAAGUAGAGUCUGGAUUGGAAGCAGAGUGAAGCUUUAAUCCUCAAGGCUUGGUUCCCAGUGACCUGUUUCCUUCAGCUAUGUCCCACCUACCAAAGCUCCAGAAAUGUCUCAAACCAGCACCAAAAGCUGAGGACCAAGUGUCCAAACACGUGAACCUGUGGGGAAUAGUUUGCAUUCAAACCACAACAAGUAAGAACAAUCUAUGAGCAUACACGGAUACACAUAUGCAUUUUAGUCAUUUAAAUGACAUUUUCUGUGGAUACCUGUGAGAUUUAUCUUACUGACAGCCAAAGCCUGCCUAAGAAAAUGAAGGCUUAUUAACUGAUAAAUUAGUGAGUGGUUAUCUAUUUGUUAAGGAUUACAUAAGGUACCUAUCAAGAAUUAUGUAACAGACAUGAGAUUUGAGGGAAAUGACUCUCUCCAAAAGUAAGAAGUACAGCCUGCCAAACAGCUCAAAAGGUAUUUACCACAACAUGGAAAAUGCAACUGGGUGUGCAUGUGAGAGGAGUGUGUAUAUGUGUGGAUGUGCUGCUUGGGAGAGGUCUGUGCCCAUGCGUGUGGAGACCAGGAGCCAACAGCAGGUGUCUCUUUGUUAUUUUCCAUCGAUAAUUUUUAAGACAAGCUCACAAAUUCAGCUAAACUGGCUGGUCCACGGGCUUCAGAGAUCUGAGACAUCUCUUUCUCCCCCACCCCCCAGCACUAUAGUUACUGAUGUGUACCCCUUCGCCCUGCUUUUCAUAUGCUUACUGGGGAUCCGAACGCAUGUCUUCAUGCUUGCAUGCCAGGCACUUUACCCAGCCCUGGAAAAAGCAGUUUUAAAUACGAAAGUUAAAAUAAAAGUGAUAAUCAAAUAAAAAAAUGACAUUAUAAGAAAUACAACUCAGGAAAUGGGUAAUGAGAAGGAUGCUCCUACAAACAGCUCAUUAGGGGAGACCCAAAUCCUUGCUAGCUUGAAUCAUGAACAUUUGCAUCUUCUGGACCAGUGGUCAGAAAAAUCCCCACAGGACUUAGGGAAAUUCUGUACUAUGUUUGGGAGGAACAGAUGGGAUCCCUCGGUGGUUACAGAAGUCCUGCUCAGCUGACAAGCUCUUCCCCCCACUGGACCCACGGCUCCCUUUGGGCACUUCUGUCUCUUUGCCGGACAGCCAACCUGGACAUUUUGCCUUCAGUACAUAACGCAGACUGGCUAGUUGUUAAGUUUGGGUCUAGGACAACAUCUGCUCUCAUAUGGACUGUGAUCUCUCCUGGUUGGUCUCCCUGCCUCCACCCAGACCCUCCCUGUGGAUCACGGAGUGAGUCUUUGAAGAUAUGUCAGAUCCUGUCACUCCUCAGGACAAAACCUCAGGAAAAGACAGUUUUACAAACACGCACAGGAGCCUCUGGCUCUUUGGUCUCUGCUCCAUGACCUGUUUCUCUGAGCUCAGCUGCCCUAUACCUUCCCCUUCUCUCUGUCAGGCCUUCCCCAGUGUUUUGGAACUCAUUACUGGACUUUGAAAAUGCCAGGCUCCUCUGGGCUGAUUGCAUAUGCCUUUAAUCACAGCUACUCAGGAGGCUGAGACAGGACGAUCACAACUCUUAAGGCAUGCUUGAGCCUCAGGGUCUCAGCGAAUCUGAAGUUCAUCGUUUCAGCUGUACCUGCUAACCAGUGAGCUCCUAGAAUCCACCUGUCUCUAUCCCUCCAGCGCUGGACACACAGCUGCAGGACUGGCGGAUGAGAGAGAUUUGUCCUGACCUG